CACACACACACACACACACACACAACACACACACACACACACACACACACACACACACACACAUACACACACACACACACACACACACACACACACACACACACACACACACACACAAUACACACACACACACAUACACACAAUACACACACACACAUACAUUACACACUUACACACACACAUAUUACAUACACACACACACACACACACAUAUUACACUUACACACACAAAGAUUACACACACACACACAGAUUACACAGAGAGAUAGAGAGAUUACAUACAUACACACACACACACACACACAGAUUACACAGAGAGAGAGAGAGAUUACAUACACACAGAUUACACACACACACACACACAGAGUAUACACACACAGAUUACAUACACACACAUAUUACACUUACACACACACACACACACAGAUUACACACCCAAAUUUUUACUUGGAUGCUCUACCAGGCCAAAUCAGUCUUUCAAUCUCAGCCGUUUAAGAAAAUGCAUUGGUUCCCAGAUUGGACCACAUCAUCUACCAAUCUUCUUCCCCACAAAAACAAAAAAAACUCAAAUAAAAAAAAAAACCCAUUUAACAGAAAACCAGCGGCGGCGCCUGGGGUGUUUACGACGGCCGCAAGCAAAGUAGUGAAUGUUGCAGCAAAUUAAAGAAAAAAAAACAUUUUACCAAAAACCAGUGCAAUCGGCUACCAUGCAUGCCUCUUCGAGUCCAAAACAUUCAACAAUCAGCUUAAUUGACUUCAUAAACUAUCAAAAAAUUCGAAUUGACCCAUAAAAAAAAUCCAAAAAUAAAAAAUCCCCAAAAUAGACGAGGAUCACAGCCCAAAAACCCGAAUUUCUCAAAAACCCAGAAACAAAAAAGCUGGAAGAAGGCGGCAUUACCUCAACUUGGGCACCAACGAGAAGCUUUCGUCGAUGAGGGUGAGGAGGACGACGACGAGGAAGCAGGGCAAGAUCAACGACGAGCGACGAGCAGGACGAGGGACGUUGGGGAUCCUCGCAGAGAUGAGGACGAGCAGGACGUUGGGGAUCCUCGCGGUUUUCUCUCCGUGCUUACGAGUCCGCCCAAAAUUGGGGUUCUUCGUUAAGAACUCGUAAGGAGGCGUGUAAUCCGAGCGAGUCCCACCUAAGCCCAUUAAAGCUAAUCCGGUUGCACACCAAACACAGGACUAUAGUCUAGUCCAGUCCAAGCCUUGCUAAUCCUGUCAAACAAACGUGCCCUAGAGGAAUAUAAAAUGGAGAAAAUCCUCUCUUCCUUUUUUUUUUUCGAGGAAUUACAAUAAUUGUGAGGGAUGGUGAAUGGAAAAGCGAUUUUUUUUUUUUUGUUUUAUUUUGUUGUUUUGUUUUGCUUUGGUCAUUAGGAGUCAUUUUAAGAGGAUAAAAUUGGUAUGAAAUUUUUAUUAAAAAGUGAGUGUGGAGUUAAGACAGUUAGAGGUGAGUUCGUCAGCACUCAAUAAAUAUUAAAUAGGGAUGUGAUAUCCACACAUCAUUUUUUACUUCUCUCACAUCUUUUUGGUUUUCGGCUGUCGGAUCGGAUGAAUUAAAGAAAAUCAACGGACAUAAAUUAACAAGGGGUGUGUGAGAAGUAAAAAGGGGGUGUGGAUAGCACAUCCCUAUUAAAUAUUAAUGCUUCGAUAAGUAUGCGUGUGAUUCGUUGUACUAUACUUCUCUAAUCAUUCUGAUUAAUCAUUGAUAUUUGAAAGGAAUGUGUCUUCAAACCGUUUGAGCUUGCCGGCUAUGCUUCUGGUUUGUUCUAAUCCUAUACUCAAUUCGGUAUCGCUAGUAAAUUUUUAAGGCCUCGUUAAUAUGUUGUAUAUGAUUAAAUUAUAGAAUGGGUAACCUUUUAAAUUCAAGAUAUAUUAAAGAUAGCGUAGAAUGAAUUUUUUCAUUUUGAGGGGAUUACAAAGGGGAUACACGUGAAGAAAAUUUCUUCAUUCUACUUAAUUUUCUUCUUUCUACUCCUACUAUCUUGUGAGUAUCCUAUUUUCAAGUUGGCCACAAUUUUUUCAUUUCCCUUUAACAUACAUUGAAAAUCAUGAUUUAUUUGUUCCAAUUCAAUUUUCUAUAUCAAACAACGCCCAAGAGACUAGAAUAAGAAUCUUAAACCAAAAUGACAACAAAAAAAACAAAAAAUUCAAGAGCAAAUUAAUGGAAACAAUGGCGUGGCCACACCAAAGGCUACGGUGGGCUGUAGCCCAGGAAGAGUUUGUGGCAUAUGUGUGUGCAUAUAUAUAUUAGUGCAUAUAUAUAUAUAUAUAUAUCGUAGUGCAUAAUCUAAUAUAAUAGACAACAAAAAAAAACUGCAAGAAGAAUUAUUUUUUAAUGAAAUUAGCCCGGCGAGUAUUUAGCACAACUAGAAAUAUAAAACUUAUCAUGGAAAAUGUGAUGCCAUUUUGUUCAAGAUUAUUCUGCUUUGAUUCAGCGGACUUUAUAUUAGUUUCAAUCGAUUUUUUUAAGAUUGCCUUUACAUCUACUUUCCUUGUUUUGAUUUGUGCUAGUUGUGUGAUUGUAAUUGAGAUGUCAAGUUUUUUAUCUUCUUCUUGUCAUUGCAUCUAAAUAUAUGUAAAUUUGAUGAUUCAUUGUAAUAUUUGCGGUUUGCAAAUGCAAAGAUGGUUGAGUUCAUGCCAAGUAAAUUUUAAGUAUACAAAUACGUUAAACUUAAAUUUUUGCAUGCAAUAUAUAUGUAGCAAAAAAUAAAAUAAAAAUCAUUUGAUUUUAGGAUAAUUUUUUUGGCUAGCCCACCCAUAAAAAUUUUUCUAGCUCCGCCAUUGAAUGGAAAUCAAUGUUUGUCAACUAAAUUAAAAAUAGUCAGGUCUUAAUGUGACAUGCAUGCAUUUUGGAUACUGCAUUCAAAAAAUUUAGGGAGUUUUAACAAAACACUCAUGUUACUGUUCACUUUUAACGAAAAAUCACAUUUAUACCUUUCCCUAUUACUAUUCACUAUACCUUUAAAAAUAGUUUUUAAAUUAAAAUUAAUUUUUUUUUUUACUUUUCGUUGGCUUUCCUAAAAAUUUAGGCCUCACAGUGUAUAGUGACAGUACAUUGCAGUGAAGUUGCCGUUUCUCAGCCAUGCCUCCCUCCUUCCAUCGAGAAAAUUUGAAGCUGAAGGAAAGUUAUUAAAUAUGUGAAAACAGCACUGUUUACGAUUUAACGGGACCUAGAGCUAUAGUGAUUGCCCUCUAUUUUCGGUGCCCUUUCAUACCUUCUUGUUUUGUGUGAUCACGAUUAAGCAACGUCAACAUUUUAUAUUAUUUUUUUAUAGAUAUAAUAAGAAAAAAAUAAAUAGUAAUAUAAAAUGUUGACGUGGUUUAACCGUGACCACACAAACAGAAUGGCACCAAAAGUGGAGGGCAAACAAUCCUUGUCCAUAGUGAUCUGCAUACGGUGGGCCACCUCAUUUGUUUAUUUUCCUAGAUUUUGGGCCUUGAGCAGAAGCACUAACUAAAAUAUCACUCCAAUUUAUCCCGCCCACCAAUUAUUGCUCAAUUAAUUAACAUCAAAUCUGCUAUUUCUUUGUGAAGUUAAAGACUGUUAUGCAUUAUCUAAAAUUUGGGCAAAGCAGUCUUAAAAAAAUUUGAUCUCUAUGUCAAUUAUGUGACAAUUACGUGAGAUAUCGUCCUAAUAUCACUUAAUCUUACUGCAUGAUUUUUAUAGUGUUCGAGUGAUUUGAAGGAUGAGAGUGGUGACCUCUAUUAGAUUUGAUUAAGUUUUUUCACUCGAUCUGUAUCUUCUCAGUUACAAGUCAAUAUUGUUGGGACCUGGAUUGUCUGCCUUACCCCAUUUCAUACUCUUCUAUUUAUAUGGUUACGGUUAAACCUCGUAAACAUUUUAUAUUCCUAUUGUUUUUUGUCUUAUUAUUUCUAUAAAAAAAUCAAUACAAAAUGUUGACGUUGCUUAAUCGUGACUACAUAAAUAAAAAAGGAAAACUAAUGAAAAGAGCUUGAAAACUUUGAGUUUUAAUGAUAAGGACAAAAUAAAGGGUAAAGUGAAUAGUAUCAGGAAUGACUUUUUAGUGUAAAAAUAUGGUUUUUCGUUAAAGUGAGCAGUACCGGGUGCUUUUCGUUAAAGUUCCCAAAUAAAAAAGGAUAGGAAAGGUAUGAGAUGAGGAAGGUAGACAAUCAAGGUACAUAUUGUUGAGGCAGGACAAUCUAAUCAACAUGCCUACUAGCAAUGUCUAGUAGUAACAAGCUGUCAAUCAUUUGGCCUAUUUGGAGGCUAACACAAUUUAGGGUUAAACGAUUAGAACAAAACUGGGUUCGCAACGAGUUUGGAUAGUUAAUUAACAAGGUUGGAGAAGGAUUUAACAGAAGAAUUCAAUCCCUAAUGAUGAUUAGCGACUGUAUCUUACUGUCAAGCAGGCUCGAAGUUCAAAAAUCGGUGCCUAGUUUCUUGUGUACAAAUCUCCGCAAAAUCAGCUUACACUUUGCAAACUUUUCAACGUUUUCUUUCUUGUCACCUUUAUAGCCAGCUUUUUGAAACCCUUCUCCAAUCUCUCUUUUUAUCGACCCAGCUCAUAAUUUUAUAAGAGCUCAAAAGGACGUAGCAGUAAGAUUGUAUACAGCCAAUCUGCAAGAGAUGGGUCGUAACGAUAAUUCUGGGAAUUUUCUACAAGUUGUGGCUAACAACUUUGAUGUUCUUGCUUUGUAUGUCCCCCUUAAUUAGCCCCAUCUCUAAAUUCUACAACUAUAUAAAUGUAUGAUUGUUCUUGUUCAAUUAAUCUGGUCCUUAACAUAUCUAAGUUGGAUUCUUUGUCUCUCAUUUGCAGGCCUCUAGUCACACUAGUUUAUCCCCUGUAAGUAUAGUAUCAUGAUUCUGUGCCUUUCUUCUUGAACGAACACUGCUAAUACGGUUUUUCUAGUAUGCUAUAUGGAGUAUUCUACAUACUGAAUAUAUAUUUUUUCCGUUAGAUCUUAGUUAAGAAUCAAUGAUAAACAAAACAUUUGUAUAUAUAGGAUACACCUGAGCGUAAUAGAAGUUUCGCUAGCAAUCACCUAUGGUUUCAUGAUAAUUGUUGUGUUUUUUUGCUAGAUAUGCUUCAAUUAGGGCAAUAGAAACCAAGUCUCGUACUGAUGAUCAACAAUGGCUUACCUAUUGGGUUCUGUAUUCUCUGAUGACAAUCUUCGAGCUCACAUUCGCCAAAAUCCUUGAAUGGUACUGUUUUUUCUUGUUAGAUUUCAGAUAGAAUGUUGUUCAUAACUAAUUCCGGUCUAAUUCUCAAUGUCUAAUGAAGUAUCUAGUUAGAAACUGGCAAACUAUAACCCUAAUUAUCCUGUAAUAUAUGUCCUCACUAUCGAUCAGCUUUCCGGUAUGGACUUAUGCCAAGUUGAUAUUCACAUGUUGGUUGGUGCUGCCACAAUUCAACGGCGCUGCAUAUGUAUAUCGUCGCUUCAUCAGACCCUACUAUAUGAACCCACAAGUUGCUCAUCAAAUGUGGUAUUUCCCAAGAACGAAGGGCGGUAGCCUCUUCAGCAAGCCGGAUGACGUUUUAACCGCUGCCGAAAAGUACAUGGAAGAGCACGGGACAGAAGCAUUUGAAAGGCUCAUAAGCAAGGUACAUUGAUAUGCCUAGCUAAUUUGUGUGUAUGUGAAAGUCCCACGUCGAAACUUGAGAAACUAAAAUACAGAUAAAAUACAACAUAUUGUAGAAACUGAAGAAGCUAAGAAACUAAAAUACAGAUAAAAUGCAAAUGUAUUGUAGAACCAUCAACAAAAGGCCAAAGAUUUUGGCCGAGAAGGAACGGUUUGACUUGGCUUUCCCAUAUCAGAUAGUUGGUGUCAAUGAGUUUCAAGGAAACAAGAUGAGAAAUGUUUGGAAUGGAAAGAGUAGGAAGCGUGCAGGAGGUUGCCAUGAGGGAGAGAAACACGGAGAAUGAGGAUCGGACGAGGCUUUAGAAAGUUGAUAACAUGUAGAAACUGAUUUUCUUAAAUAUUUACAAGACCAACAUACAAGAUAUAUAUACAAAUGGGUGGCUAAUAAUAUACGGUUACAGCUUAAAGGCGAUAAACAUAAACAUCAACAUAAAUAUAGAGCUACAACAUAAUUGACAGUUGGCUAUUAUUCUAGAAUUAAUGUCUAUAACUAUUGUAACGGUGUAACUAUUGUAACUCUCUAACACAUAUAAUAGUUCCACUACUAAUUGUAUUUAUAGCAGUCUUUCAUAUAUAUAAAACCUUAUUCAACUCACUGGUAAUAUGUGAAUGUGAUUAAGUUAGAAACAAUAUAAGUGUUAAUUGGUAGUGAUCAUCUUUCCAUGUUCAUGUUGCAAGUAUAUGAAGGAAUAUUAUUUCUGAUUUGCAGGCUGAUAGAGAAAGGAGCAACAGGAAGAGCAACAACUACAUGAUCUUUGAUGACGAUUAUAUGUACUAAUUAAAUCGCAGUUCCUGUCUUAAUUAAUUCUGUUAACAGUACUUAUGCCGAUCUUUUCCUAAACAACAUUUUGUAUGCUACGUCUCUUAAAUCAUGAAAUGGUGUGUGUGGAUUUGGUUUUUAGUAUUUUUGGCUGCAAGUGCAUUGUGCUGCUAAGCCAACACAUACAUCUAACAAUGCGAUACCAACUUAAAACCACAUAAACAAGAACGAAACUAAUAAUUUUCUUGAAUUAUUUAAUGAAUAUAUAUAUAUAUAUGCAUGGCAAGUUUCAUCACAGUUCUUAUCACGAAACGAAAAAACAUAUGUCCCUAAACCCUAAAUCCAAUAUAUAGUCAAUAACUGAGCCGAUACCUUCACAUCGGAUUCCAGCAAAAGUUGAAAAUGUUUUUGAAACGAAUAUUCUUUAAUAAAAAUCCAAGUGAUUUUGUAAUUUAAAAUUAAUUUAACCAAAAAUGCUUUUAGUAAUUUUAAAAGUACUUCAAAACAAGCUAUUUAUAUUGUUGAUUUUUUGUUUUUUAAAGCAUAUUUGGUGACAGCUCUUUCUUCUUGUUCUUUAUUUUGGGAUCGAAACAUUAUUGGGGGACAUCUUUUUCUUAUCAAAGCAUUAGGGGACAUAACUCUAUAAAGAAUCAAUUCAAUGGUGCUUUUUUAUCAUCUAAAAAGACCACCAAAGUGGCAAUCCAAAGCGAGCUUAUUCUUUAUACCUAGGCUAAAAAUUAAUUUUAUAAACAGGACUGGUUUUCUUUAAUACAUACAAUAUUUGUAUUUCUACUAAUUUAAUUUUCAGAUUCAUCUAAACAAUAUUGUACUUUAAAACCAAUCUUGAUUGAAAAGUAAUAUCAAAGCUUAUUUGUAUAAAAGAAACACAUUCGUUGUACUGAAUAUAACAACAGGCACAUCUACAUACAGAUAUUAUGAUACAAAACAUUUACUACACUAAAUUCAUCUAAAUUAUAUAUAAAAAAAAAUUCAAACUUUAAUACAAAGAAAAAACCACAUUAGUCUAAUUAAUUUGACUAAUCUGAAAUCUGUGUUAUUUAAUUUGGUCAAAAAAUAAGACAUGGUUUCUAUUUGGGUCAACAAAACAAGACAUGCUUUUUUCUUGGUCAACAAAAUACGACAAGCUUUUUUCUUGGUCAAGAAAUAAGACAGUGUUUAUUGGCGCAAAUAAGGACAAAAGCAAACCAUCCCGGUCCCGCGAGAUUUUCAGUUGGUGACGUGGCAUGAAGCAGGAGCGACAAAACCAACUGCUCAACUUCAAAAGAACGAAAGAAAGAAAGGAAAAGGAAAAGAAAAAGAAAAGAAUGAGAGAGGCGCGCACGUUAGCUAACAAACAACCACAAUCCCCGAAGCUCUGCUACAUUCCACAUUGACGACGACCUCUCCGACGACGACGACGACGACGACAACGACGACCUCUCCGACGUCGCAGAGCGCUCGCUUACUUCUCCUCCCAUUUUCCUGUAAAUUUUUCCAAUUUUUUUAACUUUCUUUUUUCUUUUUGGAAGUGAGCGACGUCCGAUUUUUGGCGAAUUUCUUCAUCUUUCUCGCAAUGUAGGUAAAAUCAGUCUUCGUUUGCCCUAAUCUGCGCUCUCUUUUGGUUUAGAAUGUGUGCUUUGGUGUCGAAAAAUACAAAAAUCUCAAGUUUUCCGAGGAAUUCGACCGCGUAUGUGAAUUUUAGGGUUUCUCUGAUUUCCAAGGAGCUGGUUUGAGCUGUUUCGGAGCAGAAAGUUGAUCGGUGGAGCCUCGUUUGGUUGAAAUUUAGGGUUUGGUUUUACGGAAUUGCAAAAUUCUGAGGAGGGGUUUGAGUUUCUUGAGCUGCAAGGUUAUGUUGUUGAGAGCCGAGGUUUAUUUGUGGGUGUAAUGGGUUAGGGGUGGAGCAAAAAAAUUUCCUUUUGUUGUUUUAAUGGGGAGGAGUUGGGAAUUGGGUUAUGGUAUUAGGUGGUGGUGGUGUUCAAAUGGGUAUUGGGUCUUGGACUUCUGGGCAAAACCUGAUAUUGCAACUUGAAUGGCUAGUCCUCAGAGAAGCGGUCCGGUCGAGAGGGAUAUCGACCAGGUUUGUUCUUUUUCAUCAGUUAUUUCCCAUGGAAUUAACACUCAGAGUGAGCCAUGACAAAUUUUUUUUGUUCAAAUGAUGUAUUGAGCUUAGUCAUUUCAGCUCAUGUUUCCAUUUUUCUUCUUUCCAUUCUGUUUGCAGGCCAUCACAGCACUUAAGAAAGGUGCAACUUUGUUAAAAUAUGGACGCAGAGGGAAGCCGAAAUUCUGCCCAUUCCGGCUUUCUAAUGUAAGUUGGCUCGACAUAUAGCCUUGUUUGGUUUCUGCUCUUUUGGCUCAGAUAAUUCUGGUUUCGUUUCAGGACGAGGCUCUUUUGAUAUGGUACUCUGGCAAAGAAGAAAAACACCUUAAACUUUGUCAUGUUUCGACAAUUAUUCCUGGCCAGCGUACUGUGAGUUUCAGCUCCCAUUCUGUUUUCGGAUAAAAUCUCCACCAAAGCUUGACUGUAAAAUCUCAAUUUUCUUGAACGCUUAUGCCUGCUCUCGAAAGAAGCUUACAUGGAAGAUUUGUUCUUUGGUGGCUUCACCAAUUACCUUCCAUAGAUAAUUAUAAACAUCACUGCGGUUUUUCUUUGCAGGCAAUAUUUCAGCGGUAUCCACGGCCUGAAAAGGAGUACCAGUCAUUUUCGCUUCUAUACAACGAUAGGUCCUUGGACUUGGUGAGUAAAUUUGCUACAUAUAUUCAAGGAUCAUUGAUGCAACUGCAUGUAUAAAGCACCUGAGAAAUUGUAUUUUCUGGUAUAUCAUGGUUUAAUCAGUUACCACCCCCUGCUGGACAGAUAUGUAAAGACAAAGAUGAAGCUGAAGUUUGGUUUGUUGGUCUUAAGGCGAUAAUCACUCGAGGUAAUUACCGGAACUGGAGAAGCGAAUCAAGAUUGGAGGGCACAUCAAUAGAUAGCCCCCAUGCUCGGACUCGGCGACAUUCUCCAACAGUGACACCAUUCUGCAUUGGGGUGAUUUAUCUGUUGUUAUUUCUUUUAUAAGGAAACAAAGAAUAUACUUCUCUUGAUGUAUCUGGCAUUUACGUUUUAUUUCUUGGUGUUUUUACCAAAUACGACAGGAUCCAAGAGAUACUGAGGGAGUUUCUUUGGAGAAUAUCCCACAGAGUAGAUUAGGACGAGCAUUCGCUGACAUAAUAUCUUAUACCGCCACCCCCAAGAAUGCCAUACAAGCUGAAUCAGUCUCAAAUGCAUCGUUAUCACCUGUAUCUGUGGAUAACUCCAAUGGUCGAAAUUCUGCAUCUGAAGCAUUUCGGGUUAGUUUAUCUAGUGCUGUAAGCUCGUCUAGUCAAGGUUCUUGUCAAGAUGAUUUUGAUACUUUAGGAGAUGUUUUUAUUUGGGGCGAAGGUAUUGGUGGUGGAGUACUUGGAGGCGGUGUGGAUAGAGUAGGGAGCUCAUAUGGUUCCAGGACGGAUGCUCUUCUGCCUAAGGUAUUAGAAUCAACAGUGGUCGUAGAUGUUCACGGAAUUGCUUGUGGUGCCAGACAUGCUGUUCUAGUCACCAAGCAAGGGGAAAUCUUCAGCUGGGGAGAGGAGUCAGGAGGCAGGCUUGGUCACGGUGUUGAUACAGAUGUUUCCCACCCAAAGCUCAUUGAGACUCUUAGUGGGAUGAAUGUGGAAUUAGUGGCAUGUGGGGAAUAUCACACUUGUGCUGUUACACUUUCUGGAGAUCUCUAUACAUGGGGUGAUGGUACUCAUCAUUUUGGCCUGCUUGGGCAUGGAAGUGAAGUUAGUCACUGGAUUCCCAAAAAGGUAUGUGGUCACUUGGAAGGUAUCCACAUAUCCUAUAUCGCUUGUGGACCGUGGCAUACAGCUGCUGUGACAUCAGGUGGCCAGUUAUUUACCUUUGGGGAUGGAACUUUUGGUGCCUUAGGACAUGGGGAUCAUAGUAGCACAAGCACGCCGCGGGAGGUGGAGACUUUGAGAGGGCUAAGAACAACAAGGAUUGCUUGUGGUAUUUGGCACACUGCUGCAGUUGUUGAAGUAGUGAAUGAAUCGUCUAGCCCCGAGACUUCUAGUAACUCUUCAUAUGGGAAGCUCUACACUUGGGGUGAUGGUGAUAAAGGCCGACUUGGACAUGGUGAUGAACAAUCUAAGCUAGUUCCUGCACGCGUAGCUGCAUUGGUUGAUAAAAAUAUUUGUCAAGUAGCCUGUGGCCAUAAUCUCACAGUUGGCCUUACAACCUCAGGACAAGUAUAUACGAUGGGAAGUGCUGCUUAUGGACAGCUUGGGAAUCCUUCAGCUGACGGGAAAGUUCCCACUCUGGUCGAGGGUGAAAUUAGUUUUGUGGAAGAAAUUGCAUGCGGUUCUUAUCAUGUUGCAGUUUUGACUUCCAAGACUGAGGUUUAUACUUGGGGAAGGGGUUCGAAUGGGCAACUAGGCCACGGAGACAAUGAUCAUAGAUAUACGCCUACCCCUGUUGAUUGUAUGAAGGAUAAGCAAGUAAAGAGUGUAGCAUGUGGUCCAAACCUAACGGCGGCCAUUUGUCUUCAUAAAUGGGUAUCAAGUGCUGACCAUUCUGUUUGCUCUGAUUGUCACAAUCCCUUUGGUUUCAGAAGAAAACGUCACAAUUGUUACAACUGUGGGCUAGUCUUCUGCAAAGCAUGCAGCAGCAAGAAAUCUCUGAAAGCUGCCUUGGCUCCAAAUACGAACAAGCCAUAUCGGGUGUGCGACGAGUGUUAUAGUAAACUGAAGAAGGCUGCAGAAGCCAGUUCUGCUUUGCGAAGUCCAAUAAGAAGUGGAAAUAUGCGUCCUAAAUCCCAUGAGGUGACAGAUAAAGAAAAUCUGAUCCCUAUGUUACGGGCAACGCUCUCCAGACUCUCUUCUUUUGGCACAAACAACCAGGGCGAAAGCAAGCAGCUUAAGCAAGAAAGAAAACCAGAAGUGCGUGAUAAUCGUGUCUUCCCAGAUUUGAAUGGACAGUUGCAGUUAGGGGGUUUUAAUUUGACAAGAGCAUCAACUCCUCCCACUGCAGGUUCAGAAAAAGUUGUUUCGCCUUCUAUUCCUGCCUCUAAAAAGGCUUCUCGGUAUACAUCUCCUGUUUCAGGAAAGUCAAGUCCACGCCGGUCUUCUGAAGAAAUCAUUCUUGAGGAUUCAAAGCAUAUAAAUGGAAGUUUGAGCCAAGAAAUCAUACAAUUAAGGACACAGGUAGGCCUUUUUAUAGUGCUUUAAUGUCUACAAUCUAAUAGUUGAUGACAUCCGUGCAUAUAACUAAAUCUUUUGGUGGGUUCUGGGAUCCAAAUCUUUGACAUUCUGUAGCUGCUGAAGAGAGAGGAACUAGCCUAGCUUAUGAACUGAGGAAUUGGAUUAAAAUUUGCAUCCUUACGAAAAUUAGUUAAAGUAAUGUGUAUACAUUACGCUGAAAUUGUUCCAAAAACUAUGUAGGUAGAAGGCCUUACUCUCAAAUCCCAGCAUCUUGAAGCUGAACUUCAACGCACAUCAAAGAAAUUGAAGGAGGUCUCUGCAAUAGCCGCAGAUGAAGCUGAAAAACGCAAAUCUGCAAAAGAAGUUAUUAAAUCUCUAACUGCUCAGGUUGCAACCGUUCUGUGUUCGAUGUUCUGUUUUUUCUUAUGCUUUCUGAUUCUUUGGCGUUGCAACUUAUCCUAUCCUCCGUAAUUUUCUAGUGUUACACUGAUUUUACUUGUCGAACAGUUGAAGGAGAUGUCUGAAAGAAUGCCUGAAGGGCAGAUGAGUCACUGCAAUACAGGUUCUAUUUCGCAUGCAAUCAGCUUUGGAAACCAGUUAUCCAAAGAGCCCUCUCUGUCAAACAUAAAUACUUCGCAAACUUUGUCCAAUGGCAAUUCAAUGGAUCGAAUCCUAACUAAUGGGACUAAAUCACCAACUGGAAAGUCCGAGCGGGUGCUACAAGAUGAACCUGGUGUAUAUAUAACUCUAAGCUCCUUGCCAGACGGCAGUAAUGAACUCAGGCGUGUUCGCUUCAGGUACCUCUCUCCUCCUCCCCCUUUAUUUUCAGAGUCAGAUAAAUACAACCAAGUAAAUAUCUAAGGCCAUGGCUUAGGCUGCAGAAGAUUCACUCUGUUUCUUUUUCGGCCUGCCACGUUGUGCCGUCAUUGCAUUUGAAUCCAUUACCUUGAGGAAUCUCCAUCAGCUUUCUCACAUUAUCCUACCAUUUCUGAAUCAUUCAUAUCUAUGUUAGUUUUCCAUAGUCUAGAUUUUUCGAACGAAACUAUUACAAUCGACUUUAUAAUAUCACGGUGCGGAUUGAUGAAAUGUAUUUGAUGCCCUCUAUCUUGUUUGCUGAAAUUUAAAUUGUUGUUCGACAGCCGGAGACAUUUCACUGAAGAAGCAGCGGAGAGAUGGUGGGCUGAAAAUGGGGUAAAGUUAUGUGAGCGGCACAACAUAAAAGGUGCAGAGUAAUAUGCUGUCAGCUCUCCUGUGCAAACCUCAUAUGCGUACAACCAAUGAUCCUCUUCCCCACCAGAACGUGUAAAUUAUUGAACCCGUAAAUCAUUCCGCCGAGAUAGGGCGAAGGAUAUGGAGUCGGAAUUAGUAGGUAGACUGAUAUAUUAGGAUGUCAAAAUUGAAAAGAUGAGAAAGACAUUUGAGAAUUCUAGAUAUUCUGCGGUUAAUGCUGUUUUUUUUCCCUUAAAUUUGUGCCAAAAUACUAGUUUUGUACAAAUAUCAAUCUCUAACCUUAUCUUUUGUACAUCAAGUUGAACACAGUUCUUCAACCUUAACUAUCCAUCUCAAUUGAGCUCAGUCCAGCUUCCUUUAUCAGGUUGUCUUCUAUUCGAACUGGCCGAAAUUUCACUUCUCCCGCCAUAUUUUCAUCUUCUAUUUCCUGCCUUCUUGUUAUAUGAUCCGGCAACCUUCCGGCAAUCGCGUAAGUACCUGAUAAUAGCAUUGAAUUGGUCGGAUGAUCAUCAUUAAGUUCCAGUAGCACUUUCUGUACAGAUUCCCCGAGAGCAACAUACCCAUAAACCCUGCAAGCCGAAAGCAGUGCACGCCAUGCUGUAACAUCAGUCUUAACGGGCAAGCUUUCAAUUAGUUUAUGUGCUUCCUCCAACAACCCGGCACGACCCAAAAGAUCGACCAUACAACCAUAGUGUUCCACCUUCGGCACAAAGCCAUACUUGCAAACCAUCAUCUCGAAACACCUAACUCCCUCUGCCACCAGCCCUCCAUGGCUGCAAGCACUUAAAACUGCUAAGAAAGUGACCUCAUUAGGUUGACAGCCCUCUUCUUCCAUCCUAUCGAAUAGCCUUAUGGCAUUACCCGCCUGCCCAUGAACACCAUAACCUGAAAUCAUGGCAGUCCAUGAUUUCACAUCUUUGCUUUCCAUGCUCUCAAAGAUGUCAAGUGCCUUGUCCAAAAACCCACAUUUAGCAUACAUAUCAACCAGAGCUGUUCCGAGAACCGCAUCCAAUACCAAGUUCUCGUCUUCCACAUAAUCCUUAAUGCAACUCCCUACACUUACAGACCCAGAAGCAGCACAAACUGAAAGCAACCCGGCCAAUGUAGAUGAAUUCGGUUUCAUUCCUUCGAGUUUCAUCAGCCUUAACAAGGCUACUGCUUCUUCUACCAUGCCACAUCUUGCAUGCUUAUCAACCAAACAAUUCCAUAACACGACAUCCUUCACAGAAACUCCAUUGAAAAUCCGACGUCCUAAAUCGAUUUCCCCUUUCUUCGCGUACGCAUCAAUCAAAGCAGUAAGAACAUGUAAAUCCGAACAGAAUCCAAUCUUGAUGCAAUAGCCAUGAAUACACUCUUCUCCAAGGUGACUCUCUAAACCACCAAUGGCAGACAAAAGGUUCAAAACGGUGGUCACAGUAGCUUCAAAACCGAUUCUACACAUUUGCUUGAACAAAUCCACAACCACAUGAGGCUUAGACGCAUGAAGAUACCCGCCCAUCAAAGUAUUCAACGAAACCAAAUCAUUUCUUUGAGGAAAUUCAUCAAACACCUUCCGGGCAUCUUCAAUCUUCCCAGAACUACAAUAAAACUGCAAAAGGGUAUUCUUUACAUUGACAAACGGUCCAAACCCAGACCUCACAACAACCCCAUGAAUCCCUCGGCCGGUCCCAAUGGCCGAUUCACGAGCGCAGGCUUUGAUCGUCGCGACGAAAGAGAACUGGUCCAGCGUGAUAUUCUGAGCUCUCAGGUUAUUGAAGAUAUGAAAAGCAUGCUUUGGAUCAUCGCUGAUGGAGUAGGCUCUGAGCAUGGUAUUAAACAUGAAGAGAUUUGGGUUUUGUAUUCGGUUGAAAAUGGCGGCGGCGUAUUGGAUGUCUUGGAUGGAAGAGGCGAGAAGCUUGCUGGAGGGAAAAGGAAGGUGGUCGAGACCAGUCUUGACCAUGGACCCAUGGAUCUGUGAGAUUUCUGAGACUGUUUUGCAGGAUGGUAAAAGAGAAAUGAGGCUGAGAUCUUGGAAGAAGACGGAGUUGUGUGUGGGCGAAAGUGUGAGUCUUUGCCCCAGACGUGACGACUUGGCUAUCAAUGUCAUCAGCCAUGCGGCGCUGGCACGGCGGCGGCAGCGUUUGAAUUGUUUGGAGCUCACGCCAAAAAUUCAGGCAUUCAAAUACCAAAGCUCCGAAGCCAUGUAUAGUAGUGUCAGUUUUUGCAUUCCAUUCAAUAAAGUUCAAAAAGUUCAUGCAACUGGAAUACCAAGUAAUAGUUACUAGUAACUACCACUCUCGUUUUGUUUUAAUUUGCUCAUAUGUCGUCUAGUUUGGGAUAUUGUCAUCUUGGUAUCCUGACCGGUCUUGAACUCCACAAAUUACACAACUUCCAUGCUAGUAAGUUUCUCUCGGUUGUUAUGGUAGUCAAUUAAUUUUAGACUUUUGUUCGUGAAAAUGUAAGCAAUAGGAUCUUGUCAUCGCGACUAUCAGGUUCUUUUUUUUUUAUUGUAUCUUGUUAUGGUGAGAACUUACAUGCAGCUGAAAUAUCAUAAGUAAUAGUAUCUAGUAACUACCACUCUCUUUUUGUUUUAACUUGCUCAUAUGUCGUAUAGUUUGGGAUAUUGUCAUCUUGGUAUCCUGACCGGUCUUGAACUCCACAAAUUACACAACUUCCAUGCUAGUAAGUUUCUCUCGGUUGUUAUGGUAGUCAAUUAAUUUUAGACUUUCGUCCGUGAAAAUGUAAGCAAUAGGAUCUUGUCAUCGCGACUAUCAGGUUCUUUUUUUUUUAUUGUAUCUUGUUAUGGUGAGAACUUACAUGCAAUUGAAAUACCAUAAGUAACAGUAUCUAGUAACCACCACUCUCUUUUUAUUUUAACUUGCUCAUAUGUGUCUAGUUUGGGAUAUUGUCAUCUUGGUGUCCUGACCGGUCUUGAACUCCACAAAUUACACAACUUACAUGCAUGUAAGUUUCUCUCGGUUGUUAUGGUAGUCAAUUAAUUUUAGACUUUCGUCCGUGAAAAUGUAAGCAAUAGGAUCUUGUCAUCGCGACUAUCAGGUUCUUUUUUUUUUAUUGUAUCUUGUUAUGGUGAGAACUUACAUGCAGCUGAAAUAUCAUAAGUAAUAGUAUCUAGUAACUACCACUCUCUUUUUGUUUUAACUUGCUCAUAUGUCGUAUAGUUUGGGAUAUUGUCAUCUUGGUAUCCUGACCGGUCUUGCACUCCACAAAUUACACAACUUCCAUGCUUGUAAGUUUCUCUCAGUUGUUAUGGUCCGCGAAAAUGUAGGCAAUAGGAUCUUGCAUGUUUCUAGGGUAGUGCUAUCCGCACUCAUAUUUACUUCUCACACAUCCCUCUCAAUUUUCGGUUUUCGAAUCGAAUAAUCGAAGAAGAUAAAUGAUCUAAAGCCACUUCUCUUCCAUACAAGUGAUGUGAAAAUGACCUAUAGACGGGUAAACCGUGUGGAGAUGGAGGCGGAAGAGUAAGCGGCUGUCUGCAAAACCAUAUUCAAGGUUCAUACUAUGAUACUCCCAACUGAAAAACGCCAUUAGGAAGUUGUAACUGCAACUUUGAAGGAUAUACAUAUAUUCACUUGCGCUAAUUGCACUUUCAGUUGCCUAAAGGAUGGUACCGUCAUACAUUGAGAAAACCCGAUAUCACAACUUGCAAUAAGUGAUGCGGUAACUAUAAAUACAUUCUUCGGAGCUGAUAUCUACCGUCGGCAGAAACGGAAUAUAUGAAAGUAGCCCGAUACCAAACUACCUUUCCUUAUAUGGGGAAAGACUGCCGCUGCUCAUCGGAGUCUUCUCCUCCUUGAAGGGUUGGGUUGAUGCAUCGGAUAGACUUGGUAGCCUUGAAACAGAACCCUUCCCUUUCCUCGCAUUCGGCCCUAACUCCUCUAUCAUGUAUUUCCACCCAUCAAUUGGUCUCCUCCGGCUAAAUAUGUGAGUCUUGAUAAAGCUAGCAAUCUGCAUGCCAAUGUCAUACAACCAGCGGUAAGCAUCGAGACAGCAGAAAGAAAUUGUUAGCAGGAUCGUCAUGCGUGUAAUAAAACGAAUGAAUUCAGAAUUUUGUGUAGAAAGGCUUUGCAAAGUCUGGUUCACCAGAGCAAUGUGAAACUUCUGCGAUUGAGUUAUUAAUCCGAUGGCUCUUCCAAUUACUCAUUUCAACAAGAAAGGAACCAUACUAAAACUACAAACCUGUACGAGCUGAACUUUUCUAGCAUAUGAAAUAGGUUCACACAAACAAUGUAAAGUUCAGGGCUAAUCCAACAAGUUGUACCGUUCUAUAUUAUUAGUGUGAGUGAAUAUACACACCUGAAAUUUAUUGUAUGCAAUCCGACGCUCAAACUCUUGAAGAAGAAUGUCUUCUUCUCUCUGCGUCAUCUCCCAUAUAUUUCCCUCCUGAGCCUUAGAUGUAGUUUCCCAACCAUCAGGUUUGUUUUUGUAGUCAGAAGCACUCGGUGCAUUAGAGUUCCCCAAAUCGUUGUUAGGGGAGUCAAAAAUGCUGCACGUAUUAAAAAGGUAAACCAAAAAUGUAAAUUCGCAAGCAACCUCAAGAAACUUUGCUACUACUACGCUGAAACAAACAGAAAGUAAAGAUUGAAGAUUUAAUCCAGUAACUUCCGUGCAAAACCGAAGACUUUAAUGCAAAACAAUCAAUUGGACUCCAAGCUCUUAAAACAUGCCGAGGUCAUAACUUUACAUGUGCAAGUGCAACAUCUGAACUCGGAUACAUAACCCACAUCAAAUUGAUAGCAGAACAUUCACAUUCCAUAGUUCAUACCAACUGAUGAAGCAGAACAAAACCCACCAUACGUAUCUAGAAAGCACUUCUACUAAUAGCAGUUUUAUUGGAAGCGCUUUUAUCAUAAUCACGUCGAAAUUUCAAAUAAAAAGCCCAGAGCUUCAAUCAAAAGGACUUGAAAUGCUUCCCCUUCAGUUCAAGGUGAUUUUCUAUCCCAGAAGCAUUUUUACUUUUUCAGCCAAACUUGUCAAUUAACGCUUUUUUAUAAAAGCACUUAAAAACACAAACACAUUACAAAUGAGUACAGAAACAGAUACAUUCAUGUACAUGCAAAGGUAAACAGAGAGAAAGAUUAACAUACUCAGAGCAACUAUCGAGCAAUCGCUCGAUGUCGUCGCCACCGCCAAUCGAAUUCGAGUCGGCCAAUUUAGCCUCCUCCUGCUUUUCAAUCUCCUUCAUCCAAAGCCCAGCGUGAAUCCUCUGUUUCUUCACCCGAUAGUCCUUCUUCAAGCUCUCCAGGCUAUAAAGCGACGACCCACUCUCGCUCUGCUGAUUCUGCUUCCUUUCCUCUUUGGGUUUCCGCCUCUCGUUCCAAUUCUCGUUCAUGUCCUCCACGAACGCCUUCGUGUCGUGGUCGGCGUCCGACGGAAGCACGAUGCUCGACCCGGGAGACGAGAAAUUGACGUCGGUCUCCCAUGGAGCUCUGCUGUUAUUUCCCGAGAGGUCGGGUGGGAGCCACGCCGUCUCCCAUGCGUCGUUCCAGUCGUCGUCGCCGCCCGCUUUCUUUGAGUUGGAGGAGAAGGUUCGGACAUUGGCGGCUGAAAUGAAUUGGGUUUUAGCGAUUGUGGACGAAAGUCGGUGGAGCUCGGUCUUUCUUGCUAUGCGUUUAAGGGCUUGCAUGGUUUGUGGAAUCGGUGAAGAGAAUCGGAGAGAAUCGCAGAAAUGGAAGCAUAAACCCUUUGUUCUUAGAGAGACGGGGACGCAGAGAGGAGGAAGACAACAUACGGGCCAAACCAAAAGCCCAAGUAUUUCAAUGGCUUUGAGAUAUUGGGCCUAACCUAAAGCCCAAGUAUUUCAACGGCCUUAAAAUAAUAUAACGGGCCGUACGUUCGAUAUUGGGCCAUAGAGAAAGAAAUAAAACUUUGUGAUUAAUUUUUUUUCUUUUUUCUUUGUUCUUUUUACAUUGGAGGAAAUCGAACCCCGACUUAUCCCAAUCCUAACCUUUUCCCCACUUUUUGUCACUAGUUAUGCAAACCUCAAAAGCUUAAUUCCCUUGUUUUUAGGUUGACAGGAACAUGUAAGUGUAGCGGUUUUCUCACUCUAAUUUAAAAUCAGAGAAUCCUAUUGUGGAAUGGGCGUGGCAACAAGUUUUGUUUAGGUUUUAUCUAAUUAGAUGUGUCACGCGAGUAUGCUAUUGGUUGACUAAUUUAAUCGUAAUUUCUUCAUGUUAAUUGUGUACUUGUAAGGUCCUAUAUUCGUGCGAGUUUUAAUUCAUGUAACGUACCGUGUCUGAAAUUGUCGUCCUUAAUAAUAAACGUAAAAAAAUGAUAAAGUAUUCAAUUUGCGAGAUCAAAAUUUAACAGGAAGUGUCAAAAUGUUUUUUUUUUUUUAAUACAACGAUAUAUUUUACACUAAAGGAAGAGGGAAGUUUGGCUAAGCCAUACAAUAGGUAACCUAAUUUAGUAUCAAAUUCGCUAUCUACGAUAUUCGAACUUAAGAUCUCUCACUUACAAUUGAAUAGAAAUAUUAACAGACCGUAGUAUUUAUUAGCUAUUAUUAUUAUUGUUUUUUUUUUAUUGUUCACUCAUUUAAAUAAGUAAUGGUGUUGGGGCCCCCUACCCCAUAAACCGUAAACCUUACGCAAAUGGAUAGGCCACGCCACAGCAUACAAGCCCAGCUGAGCUCCGAGUUUUGUUUGUUAUCUUGGUUAUGAUGAAUACUGUUAAAGCAUGUUUAGACAAGCAUACCGAUGGUACAACGCAUUCAAGGGUCUUAUCUCAUAUCUAUAAUUUUUAAAAUGAACUUGUUAUUCCUACCUUAAUGUAAAAUAAAAUAAAAUAAAAACACGAGCUCGUUUGGAAGUGCUUCUAAAAUGAUUGGAAGUAUUUUUAGAGAAAAUAUUUUUAGGUUCUAAAAGCACUUUAAGUGUUUUUCUAGGAUUUACUUGUUUUUUUACUAAGAAUUGGUUUCAAAAAUAUUUUCACCAAAAACGUUUUUAGUUAUUUUAAAAGUACUUUCAAACGAAUUCUACUUAUAUGAUUCAAUAAUUCAUCUAGUACAUUGAUAAAUAAAUUGUGCGUUAUGCGCUUGUUUUGUGAUCAGGAUUAGAUUGAUAUAUUCACAAUUUCAAAGCAUGUUAAAUAAAGAAAUGAAUAAUUUCGUCUAAUUUAAAGGUAGAAGAUGAAUGGUACAUAAAUAAACUUAUCUAUUUCAAUUCAAACAUAACUAUUAAGGGGUGUCUCAGUGGUUAAAGAUGAAUUCUAAGUCUAUAUUCCACACGGCACAUUCUGGGUUCAAUUCCAAGCAUUGGCGAGUCGCACAAUGGGGGUCAGGGGAAGGCUGAAAUGCCAUUGUGAGUCUUCCUGACCCCCGGAAUGGUGGAUUGUCUUGACAAAACUACCAAUUGGUCCCCCUUGUAACGAAAAAUAUUCCAACAUAAUAAUAGGCUUAGAAAGAUAAGUUUCGUUCAUGUCUAAUUUCUUCUAAUCUCCUCAAAAUGAAAAUUUAUUCCUCUUAUCUUCAACAUAUCUUGAGUUCUAUGAGUAAUUCACCGCAAUUUAAUUCUAGUCCACAAACGAAUGUUAUGAUUUUUUAAAGUACAAAUAACGUGAUUCAUAAUUAAUAGUGUUCGAUGAUUAGUUAGUUCAUGGAUGUAACUAUCGAGAAAUUUUUAGUUUUGACGGAAAUACAAGUAGUACAUCAUGUGUUUUAAUAAGAGUGGUGGGAAAUUUUAUCUUUUAAGUUACUAGCUUUUUAGCACACAUAUCUCACCAUUUGUAUAAUAACACGUGAUGUAUCAUCCCGUGUACCGAUCACACUGAAAAAUCUCUGUAACUGUCAAUCUAGACGGACUUUGCCUUCCUCCACCAAUCGAAGCAAUAUGUGGAAACAUCUCGCCCAUAAAAUACGCAUCUGUAUAGUCGCGAAGAAAUUGUGGUUAAGUAUCAAUACGCAUUCCUUUCAAGUUCCAGAUAUUUAAAAAAGUGGGAAUUAAUUGCAGAGAAGUAGACAGGAGAGAGCCAAUCGCCAUCAAACCGCAGGUUGGAAAGAAGCUACUAACUGCUGGGUUGCUUGUAUUGCAAGAAAUUGGAAACUGGUGGGGUUGGGAGAAUCUGAUUUUGGAAUUACCUGUGUCUGAGGAAGCUUCUCGCGCCUCAAAUAAUUUUUCAAUAUAUUCCGAACAAAUCAUCUGACGAUGUUAUUUUACUCAAACAAAAUCUUAGAUAUUUGUUUUUCAUAAUACGCGAAAUGAUACACCGCAUGAUUAAUGUUCUUGAUGUUUAUAAAGAUUUUCUCCCAACAGCAUAGAGAAUGAAUUUUAUAAAAUAAGUAUAAAUAAUACAAACAUAUAUGCUAAUUUCUCUUCAUAUGUCACUAUAUAAUUAGCACAAAAUGUCAUCAUAACCGUUUGCAUUUGGUUAACCAUACAAAUUGCUUUCCAUACCAUUUCAAUGGGUAUCAAUUACCCACUUUCUCUUGAGUUGUGUGUUUAAUUAACAAAGUCGUAUUCUCUCCACUUGAAAUUUUGUGGAGAUUUAAAAUUUGGAAUCUUCCCCUAAGGCAACCACUUUCGUUGUUGAGCUUCUUCCCUUUUGCUUAUUAAUUGUUGGACAAUUGCGAUGAUGGCACGCUUCAACCAUAGUCUCCAUCCUUAUUAUACAGUACACACGAUAGUUCAUACAACUUUUUCAAGACUAAAAUGAGGCCUAAAAUUGUAGACUAGGGGUUUUUUGCAAUAAAAAUUUAGAAAAUUGUUUUGAGGCUUGUUUGAAAAGUGCUUUUAAAUAACUGAAAACGUUUUUAGAGAAAAUGGGAAGAGAUUCUUUUAUGUGUGAAAUGAUAAAUCUUUUCACACAUUAAGAGUAUUGAUUAUUGAUUAUUGAGUUUGAUGUGCCAAUGAAAUUCACGUGUUAACAUCUAAAUGUAAAAAAAACAAGUGAAAAAAAUAAAUGGGAAGAAAUUUUUCAAUGUGCCCAGCGACUAGUAUUCUUCUUCUUUAAAUUUGAAGUGAAAACGACACGAUCCUUGCAAUUGUCUUCUAGUCUACUUGACCGCCCAUGUUUUUCACACUUAGCCAAAUUGAAGUGUAUUUGAUUUGAAUAAAUCGUCUGAAUGAAAAUGAAACCAAAUCGCCUUCCUUCUUCUUCUUGUUAUACAACAACCUUAAUUUACAUAAUAAUGUAUUGGUAUAUCUAAGUUAUCCUCCACAUUGAAAGAACAAGAAUGCUAAUGCAUUGGUAACUUAGAUAUACCCACUAUUCUAAAAAUUCUCACCUACGCGCUAAGCGGGCGGGCGUCGCCCCAAUUAAUGUCUAGGCAUUUGAAAAUUAAGAAAUUGCGCAUAAACCUGCUGAGAUCCCGCCUAACCCGCCCAGACCCGCCGAGGCAGAUGCCUAGGUCAUGGCUCACUUAAUCAUAAUAUAAAUAAUUUUCAUUUUGUAUUUUAUUUUUUUUAUAAAUUGUAAGAGACUUGUUGCAUACUUAAAUGAACACCCAUUAUAUUAUUGUUCCCCAUGUUUUCAUUAUGUUCCAAUAUUUCGCAAUAUACAUGUCAUUCUAUUUUGUAGUUUAUAAUGAAAAUAUAUAAAUUUUAAGUAUAAGCAGACACUUAUUUACACGAAAUAUAAUAAGUUUACUUAAAUCCGCUUAGUCCGCCUAGGUGCCCGCCUAAGCUCCGCCUAACCGCCAAGGUGUUAAGCCUCAGCCCGCUGCCUGAUUAGCGCCUAACGUCUUUUAAAACCUUGGAUAUACCAAUGCAUAAUCAAAUGGUCAAAAAAUAACGAAAAAAAAAGUAAAGAAAUAUGUGGACUUAGCAUUAAACUAAAAUAAUAGAAAAGUUUGACAUUGUUUUAAAAUUUGACAGCAAAGAGAAGAAAGUUAAUUUAUGUAGAAUUUUGACAUCUCCAUUGAAACAAAAAAAAACAUAUUUUUGUCAAAACAAUUCACAUAGGAAUUUUACUUCUCUUUUGUAAAUGCUCUAAUAAACUGAAAAUACAUGAAAGAAAUAAGGGCUGUAAGAAAUGAAGGCCCCUAAUUAAAACUAUAAUUUAAAAUCAAAACUUAGAAAUCGUUGAAUAACUAUUUUAAAUUUAGUGUUUAUGUCUAUUUAUUUAAAAACAAAAUGGGGAUAAAACGACAACUUAAUAAAAUCAUUGGUUAAUCAAACUAAUGUAAACCAACCAGGCAUUGAAGGUCACAGCUAAAAUCCGAACCACGGAAGUUACUACUUACUAGGACCAGAGUCGUUUACGUAAAUGCUGAUAUCGAUAUUUCGAACCCAGUUAUUAUUUUCGUGGUCCCCAUGUCAAGCAGAUAUAGAAUCGAUGGCACCACGAUGUAAUUUGUCCUUGUCGCCCCAAAUGUGUCCAUCCAUGGUCCCCAUGCAUGAUGCAUACCACUCCAUCCCACAAUAUCUUCCCUCCCAUCGUAUCACAUCAUCCCGCCCAUCCCCAUGACAUGGUACAUGUCUCGUAUAAGUUCACAUAUGCAUGCCCAUCGAUGGCUUAUAACCUUGUUAACGUAGAUGAUGUUCACUAUUCCAUUUAUCAUGAUUUAUGAUGAGUUUAACAAAUAAAAUUUUCGUGCAGUGAUAAUUGAUAAACACAAAUUUCGACCCUUAAUCUCAUUUAACUGUAAUGAUUUAGGGACUUUUUAGUCAAAAUGGUUCAUAAUAUUUGUAUAACACAUCACUUUAGUACCUGAGAUUGUCCAUCAUCCAUUAUUUUGGUCAUUCCGUUAAAAACUCCGUUAAGUGUCUCAAAGCUCUUGACCGAAAGUUUGGGCAAUUUUCAAAGUUUCGUAACUCAAUCGUUUCUUAAUCAAAUUUAAUCCAUAAUAUAUCAAAAUGAAGAUAGGAAAGUGUAGCACAAGAUUAUACUUAUUUGGAAGUCUAAUGGUGGCCGGAGAUGGCUGGAAGAUAGCCUAAAAGGUGACUAGUCUGCAGGAAAACUGAAAAACUCACCGGAAACUGGGUAGAUUUAAACGUUCAUAACUUUUUCAAUACUCAACGAGAUCGAGUGAUUCAAAAACGAGAAUCUCGUCGAAAAGUAUCAUUUUCGUUUUUGAAUCACUCGAUUUCCUUGAGUAUUGAAGAAGUUAUGAGCAUUUAAAGUUCAUCCAGUUUCCAGUGAGUUUUUCAAUUUUUCCGCAUACCAGUCACUUUUCAAGAUAUUUUCCGGCCAUCUUCGACAAACACUGGGCUUCCAAAUAGGUAUAAUCUUAUUCUACACUUUCCUAUCUUCAUUUUGAUAUAUUAUAUGUCGAAUUUGGUUAAGAAACAAUUGAGUUACAAAACUUUGAAAAUUGACCAAACUUUCGAUCAAGAGCUUCGGAACACUUAACGAAAUUUUUAACGGAAUGAUCAAAAUAAUGAAUGGUGAACAAUCUCAUGACCCAUUUAUAUUCAUUUUCAAUUUCAUAAACUAAAAUAAUGUAUUAUGUAACUCUCAUGGAGCAUUACCAAUUGAAAAUAGUGGGACAAAUGCGCUCCUCUACGGUCCCGCUAGGUCCAUCAAUAUUAUUUGUCGCCACAUGAUUUGGUUUUACCUCCUCAUACGGCCCCACAGCUUUGGUUUGCGUACGACUCGUCGGCACUCUCAUCGUCUUUCAAUUUCUAUUAUCUUUGUAUUUUUUACGGAACGGUGCGUCGUCGCACUCUCUAAGUAAUCAAAAGUAGAAAGUGGAUAUAAUUUUUUUUUUUUUUUGGUGAACGAGAUAAUAUAAUUUGAUGUGCAGUGAAGUGAGAGAACAAGCGAAUCCAAAUGGAACCAAUAUUUUAACCAUGAGCUAGUGGUCCUGGUAAAUGACGGAUUACGAACUUUCUUUAAAAUUAAAAACUAAAGGUUUUAGGUUUGAAAUCUACUGUUGAUGUGAAAGCUAUAAACUUAUAGCCAAGGAAAAAUUGAAACAUCCUUGUGAAUCUUUUAGACCUUCAAAAAGAAUGAAUAACCGUGGUUUAAUACUAAUGGUUCGCUUUUAUUUAAAAAAGAAAAAGGAACCAAUAUUUUUACUAUUAAGUCGCAACGUUCAAUUUAACUUUGGUCGGUUACGUACAAAUGUACCCUGUGCAUCCUACAAAAAUCUUUUGAAGUGCGCAGUGCGCAGAGCAUGGCUCACGUUAGCAGCUCCCGAGAACACACAGCGUUUUAACUUUUCCCACUGUGGACCUACUUUAUUAAUAAGCUAAGGGUGAAAAAUUAAGGAAAUUUGUGUUCCUCAAAGGUCAAAUUUACCCAUUCAGCUUGGUUUAGUCCUACUGUGUGAAAGUUUAAAAUGCAAGGACAAAAUGGGUACUUCAACAAACGAACACAAUAACAAAUACAGGUGUUAAAAUAAUUUCUUGAAAUUUUGAUUUCAUUUUCCUUCUACAAGUUAAAUCUCCUAAUAAGUGGCAGAGGACGGUUUGAUAUUUUUACACAAGAAGAGGGACCAAAAUGAAAAUUAAAAAUUCUCUCCAUUUUCUCUGUAUUGUCCCUCAUUUAACUCCUUUUAAACAUCAUUUUUUUCCUCCAGAGUCCCCUAACAUAUACUUCCUUUCCAUUUUUACCCCUCCACCUGUCCAACCCAUACCCUAAUCAAUGUACUACAUGAACAGUUCAGAUUGCAUCAAGGUAUAGUAGUUG
rnacentral:lncRNA from 1 species